rnacentral:rRNA from 1 species
GACGAACGCUGGCGGCGUGCUUAACACAUGCAAGUCGAACGGAAAGGCCCUGCUUUUGUGGGGUGCUCGAGUGGCGAACGGGUGAGUAACACGUGAGUAACCUGCCCUUGACUUUGGGAUAACUUCAGGAAACUGGGGCUAAUACCGGAUAGGAGCUCCUGCUGCAUGGUGGGGGUUGGAAAGUUUCGGCGGUUGGGGAUGGACUCGCGGCUUAUCAGCUUGUUGGUGGGGUAGUGGCUUACCAAGGCUUUGACGGGUAGCCGGCCUGAGAGGGUGACCGGCCACAUGGGGACUGAGAUACGGCCCAGACUCCUACGGGAGGCAGCAGUGGGGAAUAUUGCACAAUGGGCGGAAGCCUGAUGCAGCAAGCCGCGUGCGGGAUGACGGCCUUCGGGUUGUAAACCGCUUUCGCCUGUGACGAAGCGUGAGUGACGGUAAUGGGUAAAGAAGCACCGGCUAACUACGUG